ACUACCCUGCCUUGUGCGAUAAUUACGGCUAAUAUUAACCCAACGAUUUAUUUAAGGGAGCAGUGACUCCGAGCGGCGGAUUGCAGACCUCCCGGCUUUUGCCGGACGAAGGGAGCGCGAAACCGCGGGCACGCACCCACCUGCUUUGAGCAGGUUAUUAUUACCGUUUCCGGCUUGGCGGGGCUUGU
rnacentral:other from 1 species